rfam:Neospora caninum Liverpool complete genome, chromosome XI
AUACCUUCUCGGCCUUUUGGCUAUGAUCAAGUGUAGUAUCUGUUCUUAUCAGUGUGACAACUGAUAUGGGUCCAACUGGACCCAACUAUGUCACAUCAAUUUUUGUUUGGGGAGGUUCGGUCCCUGAGCUUGCUCAGGCCUUCCUCAAGCGUCGCCUUCCUCCUGCACUCCCGGGAAGAGCGGUGCGCCCUUU